CUCUCUUCCCAUCGUCGUUUCUUUCCUCCCGUGGUCGUGCCCUAAUCUACUCGCGCUCUUCCAUCUCUUCUCACCCGGCGGUUUCUCUCCUUUGUCUCUUCCUCCUAGCCUCUGCCCUAGCGCCGACGCCGUCGUUCUCUUCUCCUCUGCGCGCCGACACCAACACAGUGUGCUCUAAUUCUUGGUCUCCGGCUUCCCGCUCGGAGCAGCGCCGUGCCCCCCGAUUCAUCUUCGUCGCCGGCGCAAAUCCAUCGCCACCUACUGCGGGAAGCCACCCUCGGAUUGAUGGGGGUUGACGCUAGAGUAUUGGUGUUGCCCUAGCCUCUUCACUGUUGCACACCGCCGGCCAAGACCCGAGCAAUGCCGAUCAAGCCGACUCUCCUUUCCUCUGCCCUAGCGACGGCAGACGACCGUCCCUCUGCUGACCAUCGCUGGAGACUACCUCUUUUUCCCGAUUAGCCGUGAGCCACAGUGUAGAGCCACUUCUCGCAACAAGCAGCCAAGAUUUUUGUUGUGCCCCGGGUUUCCUCUUGUUGCCGGAUCCAAACCAAGGCUGUAGUGACACGGCAAGUGGUGAUUUUUGGGUAUUUUGAUAAGGGAUCAGUGAUCAGCGGUUGAGGGAAAAUGAUUGGCACCAUUGUAGAUACGACAGAUUUGGUUCCGAUGAUCUAGCUUCGACGGUGACGCCUCGGGUCGUAUUCCACCAUCUGUCACUUGGUUGUGAAUGGAGGAUCCUGAUUUGCGACGAGUUACCUCACGUGGGAUUUCUUUUGGCACGCGCGAUAUUUGAGGCGGGUACCUCUUGACUUAUCUUUUAUGAUAAUGUCUUUGGAUAUGCAUAGUAUUUUAUAACUACAAGCAAUGAACAUGUUUGUCUUUGGUAU